UCGAGAAUAAUUCACAAUGGGGGCAACCCUGAUGGUGCAACGCCGCGUGGAGGAUGACGGUCUUCGGAUUGUAAACUCCUGUCAUCCGGGAGUAAGACCUGGCUGUGAAUAGCAGACAGGGUUGAUAGUACCGGAAGAGGAAGGGACGGCUAACUUCGUGCCAGCAGCCGCGGUAAUACGAAGGUCCCGAGCGUUGUUCGGAAUCACUGGGCGUAAAGGGAGCGUAGGCGGCGUGGUAAGUCAGAUGUGAAAUCCCGGGGCUCAACCCCGGAACUGCAUCCGAUACUGCCGUGCUAGAGGAUUGGAGAGGUAGCUGGAAUUCUUGGUGUAGCAGUGAAAUGCGUGGAUAUCAAGAGGAACACUCGUGGCGAAAGCGAGCUACUGGACAACUCCUGACGCUGAGGCUCGAAGGCCAGGGUAGCGAAAG
rnacentral:rRNA from 1 species